rnacentral:rRNA from 1 species
UACGUAGGCAGCAAGCGUUGUUCGGAGUUACUGGGCGUAAAGGGUGCGUAGGCGGUUCUAUAAGUAUGGUGUGAAAUCUCCCGCUUAACUGGGAGGGUGCGCCGUAGACUGUGGGACUAGAGUGUGGGAGAGGAAAGUGGAAUUCCUGGUGUAGCGGUGAAAUGCGUAGAUAUCAGGAGGAACACCGGUGGUGUAGACGGCUCUCUGGACCGUAACUGACGCUGAGGCACGAAAGCGUGGGUAGCAAACAGG